GGAGUCUGGGCCGUGUCUCAGUCCCAAUGUGGCCGUUCAACCUCUCAGUCCGGCUACCGAUCGCGGUCUUGGUGGGCCGUUACCCCGCCAACUAACUAAUCGGACGCGAGUCCAUCUCCGAGCGAUAAAUCUUUGGUAUCAAAGUCAUGCGGCUUCGAUACGUUAUGCGGUAUUAGCGUUCUUUUCAGAACGUUAUUCCCCUCUCAGAGGCAGGUUACUCACGCGUUACUCACCCGUCGCCGGUCGCCAUCACAGAUAGCAAGCUACCUGCAUGCUGCCCCUCGACUUGCAUGUGUUAAGCCUGUAGCUAGCGUUCAUC
rnacentral:rRNA from 1 species